rnacentral:rRNA from 1 species
AUUGAACGCUGGCAGCAUGCUUUACACAUGCAAGUCGAACGGUAACAGGCCGCAAGGUGCUGACGAGUGGCGAACGGGUGAGUAAUGCAUCGGAACGUGCCCAGUCGUGGGGGAUAACGCAGCGAAAGCUGUGCUAAUACCGCAUACGAUCUAUGGAUGAAAGCGGGGGACCGUAAGGCCUCGCGCGAUUGGAGCGGCCGAUGUCAGAUUAGGUAGUUGGUGGGGUAAAGGCCCACCAAGCCGACGAUCUGUAGCUGGUCUGAGAGGACGACCAGCCACACUGGGACUGAGACACGGCCCAGACUCCUACGGGAGGCAGCAGUGGGGAAUUUUGGACAAUGGGCGCAAGCCUGAUCCAGCAAUGCCGCGUGCAGGAAGAAGGCCUACGGGUUGUAAACUGCUUUUGUACGGAACGAAACGGUCUGGGUUAAUACCCUGGGCUAAUGACGGUACCGUAAGAAUAAGCACCGGCUAACUACGUGCCAGCCGCCGCCGUAACAC